CGUUCGCCUUAAGAAAGGUUGUGCCUGUCGGUUCGCCUUAAGAAAGGUUGUGCCUGUUGCGGCUAAUUAUUGCUCUUUCUUUCGAUAUCUGAAAAACUUCUCCAUUUCAUUAGGGUAUAUAAUGGUGCAGAGCGCAGACUUGAUUAGCUGCUCCGUUGAAUAAUGAAUACGACCGAAUGGAUCUCAGUUUGCGACCCAAAAAAGAAAAAACACAGAAAGAAUGGAAGUCGUCAAUGGCUGUCUCCUAGAUCUAAGGGUGAAGAAGCUUACAGGCCCUCAAUCGGAUGGAUACAAUCAUGAAAUCGGUGUUGCUGUAUCCGAUUGCAUCAAGUCUUGUGGGAAUCCUCUAGGGUUGAUACCUGCAAGAGUCAAGCUACUUCCCUUGUUCUGCAACAUCAACACCAACUGCCUACCUUUAAUACCAACUGGAUCAAAGAGUUUCCAAGCAUAAUCUGCCUCUCUUCUCAACGCACUGAAAGUCCUUCCCUCUGUGUCCACUGGUUGUUCUGCUGGCUAUAGGAAAGCUAGUGGCGAGCCCAACCUCCUCGGUUGUUAAUGGCCUCUUGUGGAGGGACUUACGGAGCCCACUUAAGGGUGCUGAUCAACCUUACAUGCUCUCAAUAAGAUUGCUACGUACGGCUCAUGAAAAGUGUGUGCAAGUGCUUCAAGGCUUCUGGCAACGGCGCUGGCCAUCGCUCAGAACCAAAUUAAAUAUGCAUGGAUGGGCUACGAACCAUAAUCUGCCUCUCUUCUCAACGCACUGAAAGUCCUUCCCUCUCAGUGUCCACUGGUUGUUCCGCUAGCUAUAGGAAUGCUAGUGGCGAGCCCAGCCUCCUUGCUAUAAGAUAUAUUUCCAUUAGAACCAAAUAUGCUUGGAUGGGUGGGUCUCUCGGCUAUUAAACGAAGGUUAGGAUUAAAAGUCGAUUUUGAAAGAACCAUCCAAUAGAGAAGAUUGGCUGAGUCGCAUCUUAAUUUGGUGAGUACAUUGGACAACAUAUCAUCGGCACCGAAGGACAUCAUUUUGUGGUGUCCUUGGAUUUCAACAUUCUCGUGGGGCUGUAUGUACUGUUGGAGUACUACCCAACUGUCAAGGCUUGGAUAUUGUUGGUCUCAUAUUCGGUCUUGAUUUUCUUCUGCGUGGUGUCUAUCGCUGUUAAUGGCUUCAACCAAAAAGGGCGCUAUGGUAUUUUAUAGAGCCCCCAUGCACGAAUAGAUCAUGCCAGUCGGGUUGCUUUACCUUCCCCUUUCAACAUUCGCUUUUACUGCAGAUUAAUGGCUAACUUCAAUCACUGAGCCACGAAGCUUGAGAAGAGAACGAAACUAAAGGAGACAACUUCAAAGGUUGUGAGUCUUUCCACAACAUCAAGGCCUGCAUCACAUGUUCCUUUGUUUUAUAGGCUGCGUUGGCCUGGUGCGGUUAGAGAUAAACCCACGAAGACUGCUAUGGUGAAAAGUAAGUUCAUGUUUACAAGGUCAUGGAGAGUUGUGACAUUGAUGCUUGUUGAGGAUGACGAGGAGCUGCGGUUCUGUAUGGUUUUGGGAACGUCUCAGCUCUGAAAAAUUUCAAAGAAAAAAUAAAGGGUUCUGGCUAGAUCAGUGGAUCGAGGAUCGAGGAUCGAGAGAGAAAUCAAGAGAGAGAGAGAAAAAGGGGAUUGAAAACUUAGGGCCCGUUUGAUAACACUUCUGAUGUUUCUGUUUCAAGAAACGCCAGAAACAGAAAUUGCUGUUUCUAGAAAUAGAAACAGGUAAGAAGGGUGUUUGAUAAUUCUUGUUUCUGGAAACAGAAACAGGUAAGAAGGUGUUUGAUAAAUUCUAUUUCUGGGAACAUUUCGGACAGAAUAUGAUGUUUAUAAGCCAACUACAAGUCCAAUUGUAAUUCCCACACCAAAGUCGAAAAACCCAAAUAUAGUACUGAAGAAACCCAUCUCUAAUCUCCUUCUGAGAAAGUCUCAAAUCGAAGAACAAAAUAGAAACCCACUUUUCCUUCCUCUGCAAUCCUCAAAACCCAUCUCCAAUCCUCUCUCAAAUUCUUCCCCAGAUCAACAUCAGAAACCACCAAAUUGAU